UUCCUUGUGAUUACUUGGGUCGAGUUGGGAGUUCCUGUAGCUCUCUCUUCUGCUGUCUCUUUCGCAUGGAUCUCCCAAGAAUCAUCUCUCCGUUUGGGAAACCCCACUCAUAGUACGUGGUAAUCAACUAUGGCGACUUCAAGGUUCAUCUUCCCCGUUUCGGAAGAUCAAUAUCAUUACUUGGGACGGGCACGUGCGUCUCUCGAAAAUUACUUCUGUCCAAGCUGAAUCAAAAGAUGACGAUGAACACGGCAUGGCUACGCCAGAAUAGACCUGAGUUCAGCCCUUCGAGUUAUGGAGAUUGAAGGCAAAGGAGUAUGAAGGUUGGCAAGGAGCAUCUUGUGCCUGGCAGUUGGUGUCCUGAACCCCUGCAGAUUGUACAGCGCUGCAACAUGAACUUGGCACGACACAUGGGUUGAAAUCACUGCCAUCACACAGUGACAUUGCGUCCGCAGACAUGCUACCUUUUGUCAUCAGUCGCUGCGAGUUUCUGGUCUUAUGCUGGGUGGCUGAAUUGACAACUUGGUGGUCAUCUUCUUUUCGGAAUGUGCUUCCAAGAGCUACAGUGGAAAUCAUGUCAGCCUUACACGCAUCAUGAACAUCAGACCCUUACUUAUUAACGCAUGAUAGCACUUUAAAAUUUCUCUUCCCUUAGCAGUUCAGGAAAUUGUUUUUCUUGCAUUAACUAUUAUUUCUUCUUGGCUGUUUGUUUCCUGUUCUCUAUAACCGUUUCUUCAUCGGUUAGGAAUAUUUGGAA